rnacentral:rRNA from 1 species
UACAGAGGGUGCGAGCGUUGUCCGGAAUCACUGGGCGUAAAGGGCGCGUAGGUGGCGGGCCAAGUCCAUGGUGAAAGCUCGAUGCUCAACAUCGAGUCGGCCACGGAUACUGGUUUGCUGGAGCACUGUAGAGGCAGAUGGAAUUCCGGGUGUAGCGGUGGAAUGCGUAGAGAUCCGGAAGAACACCAGCGGCGAAGGCGGCAUCCUGGACUGGUCCUGACACUCAGGAGCGAAAGCGUGGGGAGCGAUCCGG